CCUGCCCAAUGGUUGUAUCUAAAAGCGGUUGAUAAAAGUCGACCGCGUAAGGACAAUUGAAUGGCCGCGGUAACACUGACCGUGAUAAUGUAGCGUAAUCAAUAGCCAAUUAAUUGUUGGCCAGUAUGAAUGGCGCCACGAAGGCCCCACUGUCUUAAGGAAAUUCCCAGUGAAAUUGAAUUCGUAGUGAAGAUGCUACGUCCAAUUUGUUAGACGAAAAGACCCCGUUGAGCUUUACUGGGGCACUUACACGGCCCCGGCCUUCAAGACUGGGUUGAUAAGCCAAGGCUUACCAUACCUAGGGACCGGCCGAAUUUAAAUGGGCGGCUUAGACUAUGUGGCAGCCCCCCCCGUCGGGGCAGAUGAAACCCCMCUCCCCCAUGUCAAAGGGGCUAACCCCCCCCCCCUUGGGGGGGGACAAUGUAAGUAGGACAGUUUGGUUGGGGCGACCGCCUUUUAGAGAGUAACGAAGGUGCGCUUAAGGUGCGUAAUUAAUGACUGAAGCCUGACUGCGAGGGGGACACCCCGAGCAGACACCCCCAAGCCCGCCCGAGAAGGCUUUGCCUUCUGGGCGGCGGUGGGGUGG
rnacentral:rRNA from 1 species